UACGUAGGGCGCAAGCGUUGUCCGGAUUUACUGGGCGUAAAGAGCGCGCAGGCGGUCGUUCAAGUCGAGUGUGAAAGCCCCCGGCUCAACUGGGGAGGGUCACUCGAUACUGAUCGACUCGAAGGCAGGAGAGGGUAGUGGAAUUCCCGGUGUAGUGGUGAAAUGCGUAGAUAUCGGGAGGAACACCAGUGGCGAAGGCGACUACCUGGCCUGUUCUUGACGCUGAGGCGCGGAAGCUAGGGGAGCAAACGGG
rnacentral:rRNA from 1 species